rnacentral:lncRNA from 1 species
AAAGUAUAUAUUGAAGUAUCGUUCUUAAACAGCUUAAAUUUAUAUAAAUAAUGUCAUGUAUCAUCACCGAAAAAGAUCUUUAAGCUCAAAUUUUCUUCGAUUCCUAUUCUUGUUUAAUAAUUCUUUUUUCAUUUAAUUCUGCAACAUUCUAAAUUUUAUUUCUAGUAUGCUUAAUUCUCUUAAUUUCUUAUACUUAACCGUCCUCUAAAAUAAUAUAACUAAAUUAAGAGAAUUUUAGUCCUAUUAUAUCUUAAUAUAUCAGACUUUUAAAUUCUAUGAGUGUCCCAAAUUUAAACCUAUAUC